AGGUUGUCCUGUCGGAGCAGCAGUCGGUCAACCACGAGAAACAGAUUCAUAGACAGACUGAAGCAGAAACAGACGUCACUGUGAAGAAACUCCUGCAAGAAAACAAGACGGUUGAGUGAAUCUGAAGCAGCAGAGAUGAUUCUUCUGAACAUCAUCAUCAUCAUCGCCGCUCUGAUGGUAACAUCAGCAGCUCAAGACCCAGGUGUCUCUCAGAAGUGUGUGUCACCGUCAGGAAAGAGGGAGGUCAACUGCACCUUCACAGGGCACAAUCUCGAAUUCAUCUGGUGGCUCAACAACCAAUUAGUGCGCAAGAACAUCAGCUCACAACCUGCUGACCAUCCUGUCAGAAGCA